rnacentral:rRNA from 1 species
UACGGAGGGGGCUAGCGUUGUUCGGAAUUACUGGGCGUAAAGCGCGUGUAGGCGGCCAGGUAAGUCCGUUCUGAAAGCCCGGGGCUCAACCCCGGGAGGCGGAUGGAUACUGCUUGGCUCGAGUGCCGGAAGAGGCGAGUGGAAUUCCCGGUGUAGCGGUGAAAUGCGCAGAUAUCGGGAGGAACACCAAUGGCGAAGGCAGCUCGCUGGGACGGUACUGACGCUGAGACGCGAAAGCGAUGGGGA